UUUAACUGAGCGUUCAGUUACUUGACGUAGACCCGAAACCGGGCGACCUACCCAUGAGCAGGAUGAAGCGAAAGUAAAAUUUCGUGGAGGUCCGAACCCACGAGCGUUGAAAAGCUCGGGGAUGACUUGUGGGUAGCGGUGAAAUUCCAAUCGAGCCCGGAGAUAGCUGGUUCUCCCCGAAAUAGCUUUAGGGCUAGCCUCAAGGUGAGAGAUACGGAGGUAGAGCACUGAAUGUCCUAGGGGGUAUUGCACCUACCGAAGACUAUCAAACUCCGAAUGCCGUCAUCUUAUACUUGGGAGUCAGACUGUGGGUGAUAAGAUUCAUAGUCGAAAGGGCAACAGCCCAGAUCGUCAGCUAAGGUCCCUAAAUGUAAGUUAAGUGGUAAAGGAUGUGGGAUUGCACAGACAACCAGGAUGUUGGCUUAGAAGCAGCCACUCAUUCAAAGAGUGCGUAAUAGCUCACUGGUCGAGUGAUCCUGCGCCGAAGAUUUCCGGGGCUAAAACUUACUACCGAAGCUACGGCAUCAGUAAUGAUGGGUAGGGGAGCUUCCCAUACGGGUUGAAGCAUGACCGUAAGGACAUGUGGACAGUAUGGGAGUGAGAAUGUUGGCAUGAGUAGCGAGAUGUGGGUGAGAAUCCCACAGGCCGUAAACCCAAGGUUUCCAGGGGAAGGUUCGUCCGCCCUGGGUUAG
rnacentral:rRNA from 1 species